rnacentral:rRNA from 1 species
CCUACGGGAGGCAGCAGUGGGGAAUAUUGCACAAUGGGGGAAACCCUGAUGCAGCGACGCCGCGUGAGUGAAGAAGUAAUUAGUUAUGUAAAGCUCUUUCUGCAGGGAAGAAAAUGCCGGUACCUGAGUAAGAAGCCCCGUCUCACUACGUGCCAGCAGCCGCGGUAAUACGGAGGGGGCAAGCGUUAUCCGGAUUUACUGGGGGUAAAGGGAGCGUAGUCGGCAGUGCAAGUCUGGAGGGAAAGGCGGGGGCUCAACCCCCGGACUGCUCUGGAAACUGGACGGCUUGAGUGCAGGAGAGGUAAGUGGAAUUCCUAGUGUAGCGGUGAAAUGCGUAGAUAUUAGGAGGAACACCAGUGGCGAAGGCGGCGUACUGGACUGUAACUGACGUUGAGGCUCGAAAGCGUGGGGAGCAAACAGGAUUAGAUACCCGGGUAGUC